CUCGUAGGUGGUUUGUCGCGUCGUCUGUGAAAUUCCGGGGCUUAACUUCGGAUGGGCAGGCGAUACGGGCAUAACUUGAGUGCUGUAGGGGAGACUGGAAUUCCUGGUGUAGCGGUGAAAUGCGCAGAUAUCAGGAGGAACACCGAUGGCGAAGGCAGGUCUCUGGGCAGUUACUGACGCUGAGGAGCGAAAGCAUGGGUAGCGAACAGGAUUAGAUACCCUCGUA
rnacentral:rRNA from 1 species